UACGUAGGGGGCAAGCGUUGUCCGGAUUUAUUGGGCGUAAAGCGCUCGCAGGUGGUUCGUCGCGUCGGGCGUGAAAGACCCCGGCUCAACUGGGGAGGGUCGUGCGAUACGGGCGGACUGGAGGCCAGUAGGGGGAUGCGGAAUUCCGGGUGUAGUGGUGGAAUGCGUAGAGAUCCGGAGGAACACCAGCGGCGAAGGCGGCAUCCUGGACUGGUCCUGACACUCAGGAGCGAAAGCGUGGGGAGCGAUCCGG
rnacentral:rRNA from 1 species